CCUACGGGUGGCAGCAGUGAGGAAUAUUGGUCAAUGGUCGGGAGACUGAACCAGCCAAGCCGCGUGAGGGAUGAAGGUACAGAGUAUCGUAAACCUCUUUUGUCAGGGAACAAAGGCGGGGACGUGUCCCCGGUUGAGUGUACCUGAAGAAAAAGCAUCGGCUAACUCCGUGCCAGCAGCCGCGGUAAUACGGAGGAUGCGAGCGGUGUCCGGAGUUAUUGGGUUUAAAGGGUGCGCAGGCGGUCUGUUAAGUCAGCGGUCAAAGCCCGGGGCUCAACCCCGGCCCGCCGUUGAAACUGACAGUAUCGAGUGGGAGAGAGGUAUGCGGAAUGCGCGGUGUAGCGGUGAAAUGCAUAGAUAGCGCGCAGAACUCCGAGUGCGAAGGCAGCAUGCCGGCUCCACACUGACGCUGAGGCACGAAAGCGUGGGUAUCGAACAGGAUUAGAGACCCCUGUAGUC
rnacentral:rRNA from 1 species